CCCAAUCAGUAAACUUUAUAAGCCGCUACCCCGGAAGCUAUCACAUUCCAUGACAGGAGAGCUGAAUUGAGACGCUACGGGAGCCAACUGCCAGUAUAACACGCCGCGAAUAAGCAGCAUAUUUGGUGCACUUAGUCGCAAUCGGCCAUAGGGAUUGAUGGCGAGCUAAGCCCGAACCUGAUCAAGCGCUGGAGCUCUCUGAAGGAAUCACCUCCUCCCUGUCGUUCAGCCCAGGCUGGUAGGAGGCUCCUGUAGCCUAAUGACUCAUUUAAUCAAUGCAACUGCAUUCGUCCUACAACCCAGAGACACAAAGACUUUCAAUCACUUCCCAUCCCUGAACACUAACCUCCGGAUUCAACUAUUUCUGUCUGGGUUGCAUGGACAAUACAUGAGCUGAUGAUAUUGAGUCGGAUACGACGGAUCACUCACUGAACCGUCCAUCUGUACAUAAUCUUUGUAAAGGAUAUCCUGGAAUAAUUUGAAAUAUUCUUUUGUAAUAUUGGUGUAUGGUGUAUGUUUAUGUGUGUGUCUAAAAAUACAUGGUACCAUUCAUAGCAAA